GGCGUGGGCGCAGCUUACACAUGCAAGUCGAGCGGGGGAAGGUAGCUUGCUACCGGACCUAGCGGCGGACGGGUGAGUAAUGCUUAGGAAUCUGCCUAUUAGUGGGGGACAACAUCUCGAAAGGGAUGCUAAUACCGCAUACGUCCUACGGGAGAAAGCAGGGGAUCUUCGGACCUUGCGCUAAUAGAUGAGCCUAAGUCGGAUUAGCUAGUUGGUGGGGUAAAGGCCUACCAAGGCGACGAUCUGUAGCGGGUCUGAGAGGAUGAUCCGCCACACUGGGACUGAGACACGGCCCAGACUCCUACGGGAGGCAGCAGUGGGGAAUAUUGGACAAUGGGGGGAACCCUGAUCCAGCCAUGCCGCGUGUGUGAAGAAGGCCUUAUGGUUGUAAAGCACUUUAAGCGAGGAGGAGGCUACUCUAGUUAAUACCUAGGGAUAGUGGACGUUACUCGCAGAAUAAGCACCGGCUAACUCUGUGCCAGCAGCCGCGGUAAUACAGAGGGUGCGAGCGUUAAUCGGAUUUACUGGGCGUAAAGCGUGCGUAGGCGGCUUAUUAAGUCGGAUGUGAAAUCCCCGAGCUUAACUUGGGAAUUGCAUUCGAUACUGGUGAGCUAGAGUAUGGGAGAGGAUUGGGUAAAAAUUCCAGGUGUAGCGGUGAAAUGCGUAGAGAUCUGGAGGAAUACCGAUGGCGAAAGGCAGCCAUCUGGCCUAAUACUGACGCUGAGGUACGAAAGCAUGGGGAGCAAACAGGAUUAGAUACCCUGGUAGUCCAUGCCGUAAACGAUGUCUACUAGCCGUUGGGGCCUUUGAGGCUUUAGUGGCGCAGCUAACGCGAUAAGUAGACCGCCUGGGGAGUACGGUCGCAAGACUAAAACUCAAUGAAUUGACGGGGCCCGCACAAGCGUGAGCAUGUGGUUUAAUUCGAUGCAACGCGAAGAUCUUACCUGGCCUUGACAUACUAGAAACUUUCCAGAGGAUGAUUGUGCUUCGGGCAUCUAGA
rnacentral:rRNA from 1 species